AUGUUAUUGUGAGUACUUUUUCACUUUGUAUCGCUUUGCUUUUUGUUCUCCACAUUAACAAAACUAUACAACAAAUAUGUAUAAAUGAGAUAACAGUGGCAUCCAAUUCUGUCUCUUUUAUCAGGCACAAAUUCCACCGAAAAUCCAGUUUAUAGCACAACCCUGCCAUCUGGAGAUAUGUCUUCCCCUGCCAUCCAAACUGAUUCAUCAGUGAGGAUACACUAUUGUGCCAUUGCUGUUGCUGUCACGUUUGCCUUAACCCUCGUCAUCUUGGCUUUCCUCAUCUGCAGGACAAACAGGUAUUUAACACAUAUCGCAUUAAUGUCAUUUUGGCUAUCCUCAUCUACAUGACAAACAGAUAUUUAAUACACUGCAUUAAUGCCAUAUGCACAAAACACUAAAACACUAAUUUCUAUUUUCUAGCAGUGCAAAAUAUGCUCCUACAAGAGCCUCAGCUGAUGGACAAAACCAGCCUUGUUCAGUAGAAUUAGCCUAAGGAGGCAUCUGAACUUGCACUAGAAACAACAACACAUGGCGUGGAGUCAUGACAACACAUUAUCCGAUAAUGUAACACGUAUUAUAUUAUAUUAUAUUAUAUUAUAUUAUAUUAUAUUAUAUUA
ensembl:lncRNA